GCAUUCAAUAAGCGGAGGAAAAGAAACCAACAGGGAUUGCCCCAGUAACGGCGAGUGAAGCGGCAACAGCUCAAAUUUGAAAUCUGGCCCCCUCGGGGCCCGAGUUGUAAUUUGCAGAGGGAGCUUUUGGCGUCGGUCGUGGUCUAAGUUCCUUGGAACAGGACGUCACAGAGGGUGAGAAUCCCGUACGUGGCCGCCGGCCUUCGCCUUGUAAAGCCCCUUCGACGAGUCGAGUUGUUUGGGAAUGCAGCUCUAAAUGGGAGGUAAAUUCCUUCUAAAGCUAAAUACCCGCCAGAGACCGAUAGCGCACAAGUAGAGUGAUCGAAAGAUGAAAAGCACUUUGGAAAGAGAGUGAAAAAGCACGUGAAAUUGUUGAAAGGGAAGCGCUUGCGGCUAGACGUGCCCGCGGUUGAUCAUCCAGGCUCCGGCCUGGUGCACUCCUCCGCGGGCAGGCCAGCAUCAGUUCGGGCGGUCGGAUAAAGGCCUCUGUCACGUACCACCCCUCGGGGUGGCCUUAUAGGGGAGGCGCAACACGGCCAGCCCGGACUGAGGUUCCGCGCAUCUGCUAGGAUGCUGGCGUAAUAGCAGCAAGCGGCCCGUCUUGAAACACGGACCAAGGAGUCUAACAUCUAUGCGAGUGUUUGGGUGUCAAGCCCGAGCGCGCAAUGAAAGUGAACGGAGGUGGGAACCCUCACGGGUGCACCAUCGACCGAUCCUGAUGUCUUCGGAUGGAUUUGAGUAAGAGCAUAGCUGUUGGGACCCGAAAGAUGGUGAACUAUGCCUGAAUAGGGUGAAGCCAGAGGAAACUCUGGUGGAGGCUCGCAGCGGUUCUGACGUGCAAAUCGAUCGUCAAAUUUGGGCAUAGGGGC
rnacentral:rRNA from 1 species